AUUGAACGCUGGCGGCAUGCCUUACACAUGCAAGUCGAACGGUAACAGGUCUUCGGACGCUGACGAGUGGCGAACGGGUGAGUAAUGCAUCGGAACGUGCCCAGUCGUGGGGGAUAACUGCUCGAAAGAGCAGCUAAUACCGCAUACGACCUGAGGGUGACAGCGGGGGACCGUAAGGCCUCGCGCGAUUGCAGCGGCCGAUGUCAGAUUAGCUAGUUGGUGGGGUAAAGGCCUACCAAGGCAACGAUCUGUAGUUGGUCUGAGAGGACGACCAGCCACACUGGGACUGAGACACGGCCCAGACUCCUACGGGAGGCAGCAGUGGGGAAUUUUGGACAAAGGGCGCAAGCCUGAUCCAGCAAUGCCGCGUGCAGGAAGAAGGCCUUCGGGUUGUAAACUGCUUUUGUCAGGGAAGAAAUCUUCUGGGCUAAUACCCCGGGAGGAUGACGUUACCUGAAGAAUAAGCACCGGCUAACUACGUG
rnacentral:rRNA from 1 species